AAUCCGAUCCUCCUUCCUUCUCCCCUCUCACGCGAGCGAUUCAUCGCUGACAGUGCUCUUUCUCCAUUCCCGACCUCUCCCUCACUGCGUCAUCUGGUGUGUCACUGCCAGAUCUGGAUAGCGUCGGCGUCAUCUAGCUCACCACUAGUGGAGCUACCACCUAUUUCCAGCGAUGUCUUGAGUCUGAUUAUCGGUUGCUCUGCACCUUGGGGCACCAUCACCUUCACUACUUGUGUCGCCCCCAGUAGAUCCACCAGCGGUGCCCUUCUCAUCGAUUCAUUCUUAGGGUAGUGAAUCGUACCACCACAAGUAGAGUCCGGAUCGAGCGCCAUCACUGGGAGACGAUCAACCGAGUGUGUUGUUGGAAUCUCGCUGAGCAUAUCACUGGUAUCUUCGGUGCAUUCUAUUGUUAGAGAUCUAAUUUGGGGAGGAGGUGGUCGACUAGGGACCUUGAUCGGAUUUCUUUUGAGAUGGACAACUUGGCAUGGGGGUUCUUUCAGCUAUGAGCUAUAUUAAGGCGGGUAUUUCUUUCUUGGUCUCUUUAGUUCUUUGAACUUAGUGCAUGGUUGUUUUUGAUUGAUGGAUUAGGUUGCUUUACCUUAAAUUUGUACGUUUGUUGCAAUCUUGCUUGAUACUUAUGCUUGACCUUUGAGAUGAUCUAUUUAUUUUACAUACAGUCUUGACUUUUGGAUAUCUAUACUUAGUUAUGCAUACACAUGUAGAGUAUAUAUUGUAGGGGAUGUCUUGAUAACUAAGUUAACAUUGCUGAUUAUGCAUUUGGUGUUGAGUGUACACAUGAUUGGUAUGUGUUGUAGGAGUCACCUGGUUGAUUGUCCAUUCGUAUAUUGUGUGUGUACACAUGUCCAGUGUGGUUAUUGGAGGUAUAUUGUUGAUUAUACCUAUGUUAUAGGUGUUAGAGUGUAUACUAAAAGCCUAGCUUUUGUAAACAUUUAUUUUUGAAAUAAUAGAAUCACAUUGGUCAAAUGUCUAUAUUU